AAUGAAGUGCCUGAUUUAAAAGGAUUAUUUUGAUAGAAUAAAUCAUGUACUUUACCUUCAUUA
rnacentral:tRNA from 1 species